UACGAAGGGGGCUAGCGUUGCUCGGAAUCACUGGGCGUAAAGCGCACGUAGGCGGCUCUUUAAGUCAGGGGUGAAAUCCUGGAGCUCAACUCCAGAACUGCCCUUGAUACUGAGGAGCUUGAGUCCGGGGAGAGGUGAGUGGAACUGCGAGUGUAGAGGUGAAAAUUCGUAGAUAUUCGCAAGAACACCAGUGGCGAAGGCGGCUCACUGGCCCGGUACUGAC
rnacentral:rRNA from 1 species